rnacentral:lncRNA from 1 species
CCAAUCAUGCCCUAAACCAGGGUCAAUAGUGUAAGAACUACUAAUACAAUUCAAGAGUCAAAUACAUCAGAAAAAAUAACCACAAAGGAAUAAUAACUGUCUCCGAAUACUAAUAAAGACAUAACUAGUAUAUAAAUAUAGAGGUGAACUUCAGACGCAUGAAUGUCCAACCACUACCUUAGAAGCUCCAAUAAUUGCCCAAAUCAAGUAAACUGAGGCACACUCGAGCUAGGACCUGCACCGAUAGGGCGCAGUAGGCAUGAGUACGAUUCACUUAUACUCAGUAGGUAUCAUAGGCCGACCAAGCAAAGUAGUAAAUAAAGCAUACAAAAUAUACACUAAGGGCACGUCACCUGCAAUCAAAAAAUGUCCCACAACGGUAGCCCACACCGCUUGUACUAACAGUUCUAAUAUAUCUCACAUUUAUUACAAAAACACACAAAGAUAUAGAACACAAGUAUACAUUAUGUCACAUAUAAAUAGAAUAAGAGAGAACAUAUAGAUAUAAGAUCAUCAACUACAAGUAAAGGAAGGUUAGACAAAUACAUAGAUGACAAGUCAAUAAGGCAAUACAAUAUAACAAAAACACAAUAAAGUAAGUGCAAUGUGUAUGAUAAUGAUGAUGAUGAUGAUGAUGAUGCACGAGGUUGUUGCACAACCUCCGGGAUCGUCGCACAAUCCCCGUAUACACUUACGGAGCUAAAGCAUCCCGACGUAGGAUCCAUGGGGUGUUCGUCAACCCAUAUACAAUCCAAAUAUCUCAUAUCUCCUUUUCGGCAUAUCCCUCGAAAAGUGUUUUAUAAGGUGUUACAAUAUUUUUAAAAAGGUGUUACCAGUGUUUCUUAGAUGUUGCCAUGAUGAUAUCAAUGUUUCAUGAAUGAGUAUGAUAUGAAGAUGUAAUGCUCACAACCAAUCACAAUAAGUAUUUACACAACCAACCACAUGAUAUAUUUCCACAACUAACCACAAUGAUACAUUUCCACAACCACAUGAGUCAAUAUCUACUCAUUAUUUUUAUUUCAUCCAUGAAUUUCCACAUGUCUCAUAUAUCGAUAAGGUAUGAAUAUAAUCACAAUACCCAAUGGUACUACAUUAAACAAUACAAUACAAUUACUCACAUGUAAUCAAGGCUAUCAAUGUCACAUUGGACCCCACAGGUCAAACAUAUCACAUAAUAUUUUAAUUUCUACAAUUACAUCACAUAUAGGCCACACACAGGCACAACACGUAGAUAGCCAUUUUUCAUGAUUAGUUCCCACCCUUAACAUACAUUUUGUAUCAUUAUUUACUACCUAGACCAGUUUAAAGAGUUAAGCCAGAACCUACCUCGAAAGCUGAAACCGAUCCGCUACACUUGAACCCGCGACCUUACUUUUCACGAACAAUCCCAAAUUUCACUAGAAAUAUCAAAUAUGAAAUCUACGCAUCAAAAUAAAACCAACGACAUUCAUAUUGAAUACUUUUGGUUCAGGAUCAAAACGGACCCCCAAAAUAGGUUUUCGAAAAAGAAGGGCAAAAUCAAAAUUUUACUUCAAAAACAUAUUUUCCAUAUUUUUAUAAACAUACAACUGAAAACCCAAGUUAAAUCGAGUCAAAAACGAGGUUCAAAUCAAAGAAAACCCAUUUUUGAGCUUUACCGGGUAAAAUAUUUAAAAUCUGGGUGAAUCGGAGUUGUUUUGAAGGUUAAAUUGAUGAAAGACUAGUAAUUAUAAGAUUAAAAUAUUAUUCAAGUGAAAGGGGUAAAAUUUGGGUUUAAAAUCAUUCCCUAAGAUUUUUGAGGUUUUGAUAAAUUAAAGAAGAAAUUAUUAAGAAAAUGGGUGAAUUCUUACCUUAAAUCCGUAAUACAAUCAAGAAAUAAGUGUUAAUCUAGCUUCCCAAGCUCCUACAAACUUCACUUUUAAGCUUCCAAACUAUUUAGGGUUUAACUCUCAAGAGACAAGAUGAAAAAAUGAGUAAAAUGGGUGAAAAAUUUGUUAUUUAUAGCAGAUUUUUCUGCAGUAGUUGGUGCUGUUUUUUUUUUCUAAGUCGAAAUGGACUUUGAUGGGGUGUCCGAAAUUCUUUCAGAGUCCGAUUUAUGCAAACAAACUAUGCAACCACACUAAAUUUGAUGUUUCAAACGCGAUGAAGAUAUCAGAUUUUCCAGAAAAUGUCGUUUUCACAAAAUUGACCCCCGAAGCCCGAAAUCAUAAUUUUCCAAACUGAGGGUCGAAAUGAGAUUUAAAAACUGUAAAAUCAUACUAAACAUGCUAACAAACUAAAAUUAAAAUUCUGGAUAUGCUGGAGAAGUAGGAUUUUAGAUCCGAAGUUGUUUCGAUCAAAUAUGGGUCCCACACCCAUAUUUCUAAUUUUUCAACUUUCCUAUCAACAGGUCGAAAUGAGCUCGGGUGCACCAAGACCUGAACCAAAGGUCUACCUAGCCUAAAAUUGAUAUUACGGAGCAGAUGGCACAGUCCGUUCGGUCAUCCAUCGUACGGAUCAAACUAUAUCCACAUAAGUCCAAAAUAAGGCUCUUAAAGCCAUCAAAAACCACAAUAUUGCAUAAAUGAUACCAAAAUGCAUAAAAAAUCAUGUCAAUCACUCCCAUACCCCAUAAAUAUAAUAAUGAAACUACGGGGAGGGUUAAAACUAUCAAAACACACAAAAUAAAAAAUUUCACAUAUUUCAUCAAAUUUUUAGGUCGUAACAAUCCUACUAACAGAUUAGCCAGUAGUUUAAUCCUACCAGGUAAUUUCCCCAUACAAAUUUAGGAUUUAACUUAUUCAAUUAUUAAACCAGUAAAUAAAUUAAUUAUGUAGGCCAUAGAAAUUUACAUUCUCCCACUUGGCACACACAAUGUUAAUUUAGUGUUUUAAUAUGUACGCCAAUCAUGUGCACAAUUAACGUUAAAUCCAACAUCAUUUGUCAUCGUUAAAUAAAUCAACUAGAAUGAGUCAUGGAGGUUGUACAUCACUUUACUUAACAUAAUUCCUUCCAUAUAAUACAAUAUUAGCCUAUUACCUAACAUAACCUUUUAAAUACAUAAUAGGUCCAACGAUAAUACUUAGAAUCCUUUAUCUAAGUCAGAACCUAUCAUCAUCAUUCACAAUAUUAUGUAUACAAGAGAAAACAGGUAACAACAGAAACAUAUAUAAUUUGAGAUCAAAGUGUCAAUUACAUAAACAUAAUUAAGUCUUUACAUACAAUCAUUCAUUGUUAUCAACAAGACUCAUCCUUUCAACAUGUUCAACAAAUAUUUUGGACGGUAAUUCUUUCGUCAAAGGAUUAAAAAUCAUAAGCUUGGUGCUAAUAUGUUCAAUUGACACUUUAUGUUUCUGGACUUCUUCUUUAACUAAAAAGUAUUUCAAUUUCAUAUGCUUAACAUCUUUUGAAUACUUAUCGUUUUUAGAGAAGAAAACUGCAGCAGUAUUAUCGCAAUAAAUUUUCAGCGACCUGGCUAUAUUGUCGACUAGUCCAAGUCCUGAAAUAAAAUUUCGCAACCAAUUAGCCUGGACUGUAGCCUCAAACCAUGCCACAAACUCAGCAUCCAUAGUGGAUGCAACUAUAACAGAUGCUUCGCACUCUUCCAGGAUAUUGCUCCUCCAUCUAAUAGAAACAAAUAUCCAAAUGUGGAUUUUCCUGUAUCUACACAACCAGUAUUAUCUGAAUCUGAAUAUCCAACAACAUCUAGAUGAUCGGAUCUUCUAUAAGUGAGCAUAUGAUUUUUCGUUCCUUGUAAGUAUCACAACACUUUCUUUGCAGCCUUUCAGUGAUCCAUUCUGGGAAAACUUUGAUAUCGGCCCAGUAUUCCAAUAGUAAAAAUAUCGAUGCAUAAGGAAUAUAUUUCAUUUGCUUUCAUUCUAAGUCAUUCUUUAGAUAUUAAUUGAGACUAAACUUAUCUCCUUUCUGAAUUAGAACGAGACUUGAUGAGCAUUUUUAUUCUAAAUCUCUAUAAUACUUUAUUAAUAUAGGUUUUUUGAGACAAUCCCAAUAAUUCUUGUGACCUAUCUCAAAAUAUUUCUAUUCUAAUCAUAUAGGAUGCCUCACCCAUAUCUUUCAUUUCAAAGUUAUUAGAGAGGUAUUUCUUGGUAUCAUGCAACAAAUCAAGAUUAUUAGUAGCUAGCAAGAUGUCAUCAACAUACAAGACUAACAUAAUAAACUUACUCCCAUUGACCUUCAGAUAUAUACACUAAUGAAUAGUGUUUUCUUUAAAUUCAAAGGUGACAAUCAUUUCAUUAAACUUAAGAUACCAUUAUCGGGAAGCUUGCUUAAGUCCGUAUAUUGGCUUCUUAAGUUUACACACCAUGUGUUCCUUUUCUUUAAUGGGAAACCCCUCAGGUUGAUUCAUAUAAACUUCUUCAUCUAACUUUCCAUUCAGAAAGGUUAUUUUCACAUCUAUUUGAUGUAGCUCUAAGUCAUAAUGAGCUAUCAAGGUCAUUAUAAUUCUAAGGAAAUCUUUUUUAGAGGCAGGUGAAAACGUCUUUUUAUAAUCAAUACCAUCCUUUUGAGUGAAACCUUUGGCAACAAGUCUGGCCUUGUGGCGUUCGAUAUUGUCAGUUAAGUCACAUUUGGUCUUAAAGACCCAUUUACACCCAACUCUUUUGCAACCUUCGGGUAAUUCAACAAGGUCCCAAACUUCAUUCUGUUCCAUAGAUUUUAACAAAUCUUUCAUAGCAUUUAUCCAUUUAUCAGAAUUGUUGCUUUCAAUGGCUUAUGAAAAUAAAACUGGAUCAUCAUCAAUUCCCAAGUCAGUUUCUAACUCAUGUAGCUAUACCAAAUAAUCAUCAGAAAUAGCAGAUCUUCUUUGUAUUUGAGAUCUUCUUGAUGCUACUUCUUGUGGUUCAUCUACUACAAGUUCAUCAAUUAUAGCUUUAUUGUGAUUAGUAGGAACAUUAAUUUGUUGUUCUUGUUGAUUACUUUGUUGUACAACAACUUCAGGAAUAACAAAUUUAAAAGAAGUAUAGGGUAGAGGAAUUUUCACCCUAACUUCUUUAAUAUCCAUAUUACAUGGUUCUUCACUCUUACUAACUUCGCCAUUCUCAAUGAACCUAACAUUUCCAGUUUCAACUAUUCUCGUACUAUGAUUAGGACAAUAAAAUCUAUACCCUUUUGAUUUUUCUGGAUAACCAAUGAAGAAACCACUGAUUGUUCUUGAAUCCAGUUUCUUUUCUUGUGGAUUGUAUACUCUAACUUCUGCCGGGUAACCCCAAAUAUGCAGGUUCCUCAAACUAGGUUUCCUAUCAAUCCACAAUUCAAAAGGUGUCUUUGGAACUACUUUACUAGGAACCCUAUUUAGCAAGUAAACGACAGUCCUUAAAGCAUACAUCCAUAAUGAAGGAAGUAAAGAUGAAUUACUUAACAUACUCCUAACCAUAUCCAUUAAUGUACGAUUGCGCCUUUCUACCACACCAUUUUAUUGUGGUGUGAUAGACAUUGUGUAUUGAGCACACAUGCCACGCUUUUUGAGGAAUUUAGCAAAUGGACCUGGGUGUUGUCCACUUUUAUCAUAUCUUCCAUAAUAUUCACCACCUCUAUCAGACUUGUUUAUUUUCACCUUUCUAUCUAGUUGUCUUUCAACCUUAGUAAUAAAUACCUCUAAGGUAUUAAUCGCUUGAGAUUUUUCAUGCAAUAAAUAGAUAUAUCCAUAAUGUGAAAAGUCAUCAAUAAAAGUGAUAAAAUAUUUUUCUUUAUUGAAAGAUGUGAUAACGAUACAUCAAAAUUAUCUCAUUAAUAUUUAUUGGUCAUAUGAACAAACAAUCAACCUUUGGGUGAUCCACAAACGUCUUAUAACCAAAAACUUCAAUUUACCCAUAAAUGUCAUAUCAAUUAUAAGCAUAAAAAAUAAUGCGUAAUUGAAUUUUGGUUUAAUUGUAAGCUUGAAAUUAAUUAUUCAUCAAGAUUCGACCACUUUGGUGAUUAACGAAUCUCAUCUAAAUCAAUUUCAAUUAUACAAUUAUUUCUUUUAAGUUUUAAAAGAAACUAUACUACUUUAAUGGCUCAAAGUACUCUAAAUAGUAAGAUUUCAUUAUAUCACAGAGAAUUUAAGAACCAAAUUCUUUUAUUUUAAGAGACAUGAUAUUCGGAAAAACAAUAUUCAAAUUGUCCAGUAAUAAUUUUUUUUUUUUCAAUUUAAUAUGACUACAUAAAAUUGUAUAGAUAGCAUGCGAAAUUCUGAAUUUUCCAUAAUAGACAAAACAAUAAAAAUAAUUAACUAAUAGCAAUCAAAAUAUGACCACAGCACAUGAUAUGUUCUAUGAACAUUAAAAAAGCAAAAUUAUUCGGACAGUGGGCAUUAACUAAUGAACAUUAACUAGUGAUCACAGUGGGCAUUAAUUAAUAAAUUCUUCGGAUAGUUGUCAAAAGCAAAAUUGACAGAUUGUCUUUCCACAUCCGAAAUUUUAAAACAGUAAUAAAUUUAAAUUCCUAAAUUUCAUACUUAGGGUUCAUAAAAUUAAUAGAAAACUUUAAUUGUAAUGAAAAAUCAUUAGUUCUUAAACCUCUCUCUGAUACCAUAUGUUAGCAUAUUAACAGAUUGUAUAACCUAAGCAAUCUAAUAUGUAAUCCUACCAAUCAUUCAGGAACGUAGAACUUAAUGAUUUUCACAUUAAACAAAUUCAGUAAUUCAGUAAAGAAUUACUUACCUGAAUUCUCCAUGAUUUUAACGGAAGCACACCAAGAGCAGAACGUAUUAUUUCUCUUUCUUAACCUUACUUUUUAGAAUAAAAUAUGAUGGAGUUUAUUCUUCUUUUGGAAGAGAGAGAACCCCCUUUUAAUACGGAGAGAAAACGGUUAUGUUUUCACGUUCCAUCAACGUGAUUUGUGGAUACAAUAAUUAUUCUACUAAUAGCAGUUAUCCCACUAACAGACAGUAAUCAUCCUACUAACAGAUUAGUCAGUAGUUUAAUCCACCUAGGUAACUUCCCCAUACAGAUUUAGGAUUUAACUUAUUCAAUUAUUAUUAAACCAGCAAAUAAAUUAAUUAUGUGGGCCACAGAAACUUACAAAUACUUGUAGAUUUUCACCCAUUUUUGCUGUUAGUUUCUCCUCUUUUACUCCCACUUUUUCAUAGUUAUUGUUCUGUGUUUUUAUUUUGAAUUCAAUCUGUGAUUUGGCACUUUAGACCAUUAAUUAUCAUUAGUGCAUAGUCAUUCUUUGAGAAUUUGUACUCACAGUUGAAGUAGGUGACUGAAACACAGCUAGAUGGUGGAAAUUGGGCUUAGAAGAACUUGUAUUUAGAACUCGAUGAUUGCAAAUUCUACAUGAUUGGCUCUUUUCUUUAAGUUUUAUGAAGUACUAAGAUUUCAUUAAAAGCAUUAAACAGAUAUAUAAGCAAG